UGGUUCUGGCAUCGAUGAAGAACGCAGCGAAGUGCGAUAGGUAAUGUGAAUUGCAGAAUUCAGUGUAUCAUCGAAUCUUUGAACGCACAUUGCGCCCUUUGGUAUUCCGAAGGGCAUGCCUGUUCGAGCGUCAUUAUAACCACUCAAGCCUGACUUGGUAUUGGAGUUCGCUAUCGGCGGCCCCUAAAAUCAGUGGCGGUGCCUGUAGGCUCUACGCGUAGUAAUAUUUCUCGCUAUAGGGUCCUGCGGGUGGCUUGCCAACAACACCUAAUUCUUUAAGGUUGACCUCGGAUCAGGUAGGGAUACCCGCUGA
rnacentral:misc_RNA from 1 species